GACGAACGCUGGCGGCGUGCUUAACACAUGCAAGUCGAACGGAAAGGCCCUGCUUGCAUGGUCCUCCAGUGGCGAACGGGUGAGUAACACGUGGGUGCUCUGCCCUGCACUUUUGGAUAAGCCUUGGCAACUGGGUCUUUUACCGGAUAGCAGCCAUUUUUAGUGUGUUGGUUGGAAAGUUUUUUCGGUGUAGGAUGAGCUGGCGGCCUAUCAGCUUGUUGGUGGGGUAAUGGGCUACCAGGGCGGCGACGGGUAGCCGGCCUGGGAGUCUGGACGGCGACAUUGGGACUGAGGGACGGCAGAGACGCCUACGAGAGGAAGAAGUGGGGAAUACUGAACAAUGGGCGCAAGCCUGGUGAAGAGAGGCCGCGUGGGGGAUGACGGCCUUGGGGUUGAAAACAAGUUGCGGGAGGGAAGAAGCUUUUUGUGACGGUACCUAGAGAAGAAGCACCGGCUAACUACGUG
rnacentral:rRNA from 1 species